rnacentral:rRNA from 1 species
AGAGUUUGAUCAUGGCUCAGAUUGAACGCUGGCGGCAGGCCUAACACAUGCAAGUCGAGCGGUAACACAGAGAGCUUGCUCUCGGGUGACGAGCGGCGGACGGGUGAGUAAUGUCUGGGAAACUGCCUGAUGGAGGGGGAUAACUACUGGAAACGGUAGCUAAUACCGCAUAACGUCGCAAGACCAAAGUGGGGGACCUUCGGGCCUCAUGCCAUCAGAUGUGCCCAGAUGGGAUUAGCUAGUAGGUGGGGUAAUGGCUCACCUAGGCGACGAUCCCUAGCUGGUCUGAGAGGAUGACCAGCCACACUGGAACUGAGACACGGUCCAGACUCCUACGGGAGGCAGCAGUGGGGAAUAUUGCACAAUGGGCGCAAGCCUGAUGCAGCCAUGCCGCGUGUAUGAAGAAGGCCUUCGGGUUGUAAAGUACUUUCAGCGAGGAGGAAGGCGUUAAGGUUAAUAACCUUAGCGAUUGACGUUACUCGCAGAAGAAGCACCGGCUAACUCCGUGCCAGCAGCCGCGGUAAUACGGAGGGUGCAAGCGUUAAUCGGAAUUACUGGGCGUAAAGCGCACGCAGGCGGUCUGUCAAGUCGGAUGUGAAAUCCCCGGGCUCAACCUGGGAACUGCAUUCGAAACUGGCAGGCUAGAGUCUUGUAGAGGGGGGUAGAAUUCCAGGUGUAGCGGUGAAAUGCGUAGAGAUCUGGAGGAAUACCGGUGGCGAAGGCGGCCCCCUGGACAAAGACUGACGCUCAGGUGCGAAAGCGUGGGGAGCAAACAGGAUUAGAUACCCUGGUAGUCCACGCCGUAAACGAUGUCGACUUGGAGGUUGUGCCCUUGAGGCGUGGCUUCCGGAGCUAACGCGUUAAGUCGACCGCCUGGGGAGUACGGCCGCAAGGUUAAAACUCAAAUGAAUUGACGGGGGCCCGCACAAGCGGUGGAGCAUGUGGUUUAAUUCGAUGCAACGCGAAGAACCUUACCUACUCUUGACAUCCAGAGAACUUAGCAGAGAUGCUUUGGUGCCUUCGGGAACUCUGAGACAGGUGCUGCAUGGCUGUCGUCAGCUCGUGUUGUGAAAUGUUGGGUUAAGUCCCGCAACGAGCGCAACCCUUAUCCUUUGUUGCCAGCGGUCCGGCCGGGAACUCAAAGGAGACUGCCAGUGAUAAACUGGAGGAAGGUGGGGAUGACGUCAAGUCAUCAUGGCCCUUACGAGUAGGGCUACACACGUGCUACAAUGGCAUAUACAAAGAGAAGCGACCUCGCGAGAGCAAGCGGACCUCAUAAAGUAUGUCGUAGUCCGGAUUGGAGUCUGCAACUCGACUCCAUGAAGUCGGAAUCGCUAGUAAUCGUAGAUCAGAAUGCUACGGUGAAUACGUUCCCGGGCCUUGUACACACCGCCCGUCACACCAUGGGAGUGGGUUGCAAAAGAAGUAGGUAGCUUAACCUUCGGGAGGGCGCUUACCACUUUGUGAUUCAUGACUGGGGUGAAGUCGUAACAAGGUAACCGUAGGGGAACCUGCGGUUGGAUCACCU